ensembl:lncRNA
CUUCAAUUCCCUCCAUAUGACCUUUUCUCCUCGUGGCUCAAGACCCCUGUCAACAAAAUGUUCCCUGCCACCUGGCAGGUCAUUGCAGACCAUUUCAAAAUGAACAAUGUAUAUGAUAUCUAGCGUGAAAGCAGCAGUGCAUGAUGAACAGGAGUGCCUCACGCCACAAGAGAUAAUGAAGAGGAUGUGCUGGGGAUGACAAUGAGAUGAGGGACGACAUUCAUGGGGGAACAUACCACUGCUCUUUCAACAACGCAUCUUUUAAAGAUGAAGAGGAGGAGAAGGUGGAUAAAGAACAGAUGAAGACACCGGCAGUUUGAUGUUGAGUAGUAUUCACACAAGACUGGAAGUCAGAUAUAAUCCAAGUACAGAUGAACACAGCACCAACCAUAGCUUGCUUGUUAGUUUUGAUUGUCAGAGGUAAAGCUUGACAUUUUUUGGUGUGUAUUGUAUCAUUUAAGUUUCAGAGAACAAUUAAACCACUGAAUUAGCUACAUGGUUUGGUAAUUAGUUAAACUAACUUCCACCAAACCAAUAAAAAAAAUGAUGUUCAACUUGUAGCUACUUCCGAAACUGCCGACCAUGUUGGCUUAAACCCAAACGUCUUCCACACCAAUGUGUGAGGUGUUUCUCCACUACCCAGAAGCACCCAGGGGGUAUUUGAGAUCCAGUCAGGAAGGGCUGUGCCUCGCCUGUGGGAGUCACGCUACCUGUAUGGUGUGUCUGGACAUGUGUCCCAAACACUCCCAUGCUUGCCCCACGAGUGUGAGGUCAUCCCGGGGGAAAUACAGUAUAUUGGUGAGCCGGUUUCCUGUUUCAUGUUCUCAUCACAAGCUUUUUAGUUCAGGAGUAGACUUAAUGAAAGCUAGACUUUAUACCAUAGAGCAUUUAAUGCCUGGAAAAAGCCAUUUUGGAUCCAAAGAGCACCUUUUUACAUAAAAAUGUUCAAUUUUCCCUAUUCUCUCUCAUCUUUCCUGUGCUCCCGGGAUGGGCUCCUCCCUCCCCAGAGCCCCUGUGCCCUCAGAUGAGCACCAACGAGCAGCUUGGACCAGAGUCUGAGUAUCUUGUUGUCUACGAUACACAGAGAGGUAUAGAAAGUGUCAAUCACUGAGCGGCUCU